UGGGGAAUCUUAGACAAUGGGGGAAACCCUGAUCUAGCCAUGCCGCGUGAGUGACGAAGGCCUUAGGGUCGUAAAGCUCUUUCGCCAGGGAUGAUAAUGACAGUACCUGGUAAAGAAACCCCGGCUAACUCCGUGCCAGCAGCCGCGGUAAUACGGAGGGGGUUAGCGUUGUCCGGAAUUAUUGGGCGUAAAGAGCUCGUAGGCGGUCUGUCGCGUCUGCUGUGAAAGUUCGGGGCUCAACCCCGGAACUGCAGUGGGUACGGGCAGACUAGAGUGCGGUAGAGGAGACUGGAAUUCCUGGUGUAGCGGUGGAAUGCGCAGAUAUCAGGAGGAACACCAGUGGCGAAGGCGGGUCUCUGGGCCGCAACUGACGCUGAGGAGCGAAAGCGUGGGGAGCGAACAGGAUUAGAUACCCCCGUAGUCC
rnacentral:rRNA from 1 species